CAGCAUCAUCAAAGCUUGCUUUGAUGGAUGGCGACCGGCGCACGGGUGAGUAACACGUAUCCAACCUGUAACAGGGGGAUAACCCGGAGAAAUCCGGACUAAUACCCCAUAAUAUGGGCGCUCCGCAUGGAGAACCCAUUAAAGAGAGCAAUUUUGGUUACAGACGAGCAUGCGCUCCAUUAGCCAGUUGGCGGGGUAACGGCCCACCAAGGCGACGAUGGAUAGGGGUUCUGAGAGGAAGGUCCCCCACAUUGGAACUGAGACACGGUCCAAACUCC
rnacentral:rRNA from 1 species